rnacentral:pre_miRNA from 1 species
AGGAGGAACAGCCCCAGUGGCGGGGCAGCUCUGGAAACCUGGAUUCAGCUCCGGCGGGAACUCCGUCUGCAGGGCCUGGAGGCUCCGAGGCGGG